rnacentral:rRNA from 1 species
UACGAAGGGUGCAAGCGUUGCUCGGAAUUAUUGGGCGUAAAGGAUAGGUAGGUGGUGACAUUUGUCUGGGGUGAAAUCCCUGAGCUUAACUCAGGAAGUGCCUUGGAAACGGUGUCACUAGAGUGCUGGAGAGGUUCGCAGAAUUCUUGGUGUAGCGGUGAAAUGCGUAGAGAUCAAGAGGAAUACCAGAGGCGAAGGCGGCGAACUGGACAGUUACUGACACUAAACUACGAAAGCGUGGGGAGCAAACAGG